AACUUUCAGCUCUCUGGCUCUGUCCCGCUCUCUUGUGGAGCGUUGUGACGGUUCUAAGAGCUUUCCUGGUGAAAAGUGCUUCUGCCCUUUAUUGGGUUGGUUGCACGAUUUACCUCUUUUACUGUGAGAAAAACAAGGUGCUCAAAGCAGGCUUUAUAGCUUGAAUGCGUUAGCAUGGAAUAAUAAGAUAGGACUUUGAAUCUAUUUUGUUGGCUCUGAGAAUCAAAGUAAUGAUUGAUAGGGAUAGUUGGGGGUGCUCGUAUUUAACGGUCAGCGGUGAAAUGCGUGGACCCGUUAAAGACGAACUUAUGCGAAAGCAUU
rnacentral:rRNA from 1 species